rnacentral:rRNA from 1 species
UACAGAGGGUGCAAGCGUUGUUCGGAAUCAUUGGGCGUAAAGGGCGUGUAGGCGGUUUGUUAAGUCAUGUGUGAAAUCCCUCGGCUCAACCGGGGAACGACGCAUGAAACUGGCAAGCUAGAGUACCAAAGAGGGGGGUGGAAUUCCCGGUGUAGCGGUGAAAUGCGCAGAUAUCAGGAAGAACACCUAUGGCGAAGGCAGCUCUCUGGGACGGUACUGACGCUGAGACGCGAAAGCGUGGGGAGCGAACAGG